rnacentral:rRNA from 1 species
GACGAACGCUGGCGGCGUGCUUAACACAUGCAAGUCGAACGGAAAGGCCCUGCUUUUGUGGGGUGCUCGAGUGGCGAACGGGUGAGUAACACGUGAGUAACCUGCCCUUGACUUUGGGAUAACUUCAGGAAACUGGGGCUAAUACCGGAUAGGAGCUCCUGCUGCAUGGUGGGGGUUGGAAAGUUUCGGCGGUUGGGGAUGGACUCGCGGCUUAUCAGCUUGUUGGUGGGGUAGUGGCUUACCAAGGCUUUGACGGGUAGCCGGCCUGAGAGGGUGACCGGCCACAUUGGGACUGAGAUACGGCCCAGACUCCUACGGGAGGCAGCAGUGGGGAAUAGUGCACUAUGGGCGGAAGCCUGAUGCAGCAACGCCGCGUGCGGGAUGACGGCCUUCGGGUUGUAAACCGCUUUCGCCUGUGACGAAGCGUGAGUGACGGUAAUGGGUAAAGAAGCACCGGCUAACUACGUG